rnacentral:rRNA from 1 species
AUUGAACGCUGGCGGCAGGCCUAACACAUGCAAGUCGAACGAGUGGCGGACGGGUGAGUAAUGUCUGGGAAACUGCCUGAUGGAGGGGGAUAACUACUGGAAAAGGUAGCUAAUACCGCAUACCAUCGGAUGUGCCCAGAUGGGAUUAGCUAGUAGGUGGGGUAAAGGCUCCCCUAGGCGACGAUCCCUAGCGGGUCUGAGAGGAUGACCAUCCACACUGGAACUGUGACACUGUCCAGCCUCCUACGGGAGGCAGCAGUGGAGAAUAUUGCACAAUGGGCGCAAGCCUGAUGCAGCCCUGCCGCGUGUAUGAAGAAGGCCGUCGGGUUGUAAAGUACUUUCAGCGGGGAGGCGUUACCCGCAGAAGAAGCACCGGCUAACUCCGUGCCAGCAGCCGCGGUAAUUC